rfam:Moniliophthora roreri strain MCA 2952 kmer90.94026, whole genome shotgun sequence.
GGCAAGAUGGCCGAGUGGUCUAAGGCGCUAGAUUUAGGCAUUUAUGACUAAACUCUAGUCUUCGGGCGCGAGUUCGAAUCUCGCUCUUGUCA